UACGGGGGGGGCAAGCGUUGUUCGGAAUUACUGGGCGUAAAGGGCUCGUAGGCGGCCAACUAAGUCGGAUGUGAAAUCCCCAGGCUUAACCUGGGAACUGCAUCCGAUACUGGAUGGCUUGAAUCCGGGAGAGGGAUGCGGAAUUCCAGGUGUAGCGGUGAAAUGCGUAGAUAUCUGGAGGAACACCGGUGGCGAAGGCGGCAUCCUGGACCGGCAUUGACGGCUGAGGAGCGAAAGCCAGGGGAGCAAACGGGG
rnacentral:rRNA from 1 species